AGCGAACGCUGGCGGCAGGCUUAACGCAUGCAAGUCGAACGGGCUUCUUCGGAAGUCAGUGGCAGACGGGUGAGUAACACGUGGGAACGUGCCCUUUGGUUCGGAAUAACUCAGGGAAACUUGAGCUAAUACCGGAUACGCCCUUAUGGGGAAAGGUUUACUGCCGAAGGAUCGGCCCGCGUCUGAUUAGCUUGUUGGUGGGGUAACGGCCUACCAAGGCGACGAUCGGUAGCUGGUCUGAGAGGAUGAUCAGCCACACUGGGACUGAGACACGGCCCAGACUUCUACGUGAGGCAGCAGUGGGGAAUAUUGGACAAUGGGCGCAAGCCUGAUCCAGCCAUGCCGCGUGAGUGAUGAAGGCCUUAGGGUUGUAAAGCUCUUUUGUCCGGGACGAUAAUGACGGUACCGGAAGAAUAAGCCCCGGCUAACUUCGUGCCAGCCGCCGCGGUAAUAC
rnacentral:rRNA from 1 species